rnacentral:lncRNA from 1 species
GACCAGGAUGAGAGUGCCCUGCCCGCGCUUGUGUGAGGGGACCGAGGAGUGCGGAUUGUCCUGCACAUGGCAGGCCAGCGGAUAAAGGAAAUGAACUGGAAGUCAUCAGCUGAUGGAAGGAGGAUUAUUUUCUCAAGAAGUCUGUUCUCCACGCUGAGCUGCUCUUUAACCUGCAUCCUGCUUUCUCCUAAAAGACCCACCACAACUUGACGAUAAACACCGCUGGGAGAAACAGACCAACUCUACAGUUAGAGUCCCUUGCAUUUAUACAGUGCCUUUCAUCCCAAAGGAUCUCAAAGUGCUUUACAUACAGGAGGGGACCCACUUCAUCCAGCACUGAAGGGCAGCCCCCACUCCAAGACAGUCCAGGUGGAGAAACUGCUUCAGCAACUGGAUUGAGUCCAUCCACCAGUGUUUCUCCGAAUGCCCACUGCCUGCGAUCUGGGAAUCUGCAGGAAGGGGCGAGAGAUUUCACCCUGCAGACGUCUGGACAUUCUGUUCAGCUUCGUCCUUCACUCCCACGGAGAGGGCGACCUCCUUCAUCACGCAGUCCUGCACAGGUGAAGGCCGUUUGUCCCUCCUGCCGUCUCCAGUCCCAGGCUCGGCUUUGCCCUGGGCUUUCCACUUCACGUUUCUUCCUCCCCAAGUCACCACCGGUUCAUUUUCGUUUCAGUUUGAUCUCUUGAAUCUGUCCAGUGGGGGGAGAGAAGGAAAAAACGCUGGAUAUUGGGAGGCUCAUCAAAGUCAUCCUUGUGUUGUUUGAUUACGAAGGGGCCUGAGUUGAGGAGCUCAGUGGAACACUUACAAGUACAAUACCCUGGAAGUCUAACAGUGUCAAGAUCCAUUGUUCUCUAUUCAGGCCGUCAGUGUGGAUACUUAAUACGCUUUUCUGUGUGUCAUUAAUAUUGGACACGACGUUGCUUUGCUUUUGUUCGUGGGAUUAACCGUUUUUUGGUGUGUGUGUGUGCUGCGGGCGCUCUACAGCUGUACUUUAGUGCCCUUAAUCCUCCCAUAAUCCUGCUGCUGUUCACUAGCAGGUGUUCCAAUUAGAACAAAGGUUGGAAGGAGGCAAGGAUGAUGUAACGGUCAGCUCCCAGAAUAUAGCCUGAGAGAAUUUAAGAUGAAUUUCUGAACACCCAUCCUCAUUGUGUUCCUUGUUUAAGAGGAUGUUUCUGGCAAACACCAAAAUGAGCCUUUCGGAGGCAGGGACAUGCAUUAUGAGCAGGAUAAUUCAUACAUGUGUGUGAAGAAUGUAUGGUGCUUUCCGGACAAACACAAAAAAAUGAGCAAUUCCAUUAUUUUCCUCUCUUGUAUUUUCUAAGGGAUUUAGCAUUUUGUAGGGAUUUGGCAAUACAUAAACCCCACUAAGGACCCCCAAGGCUUGUUCCGGUUGCACAGAGCAGCAUAAUGGCUUUCCACCUCAGCAGCUGCUAAAUAGACUCUGUUACACUGAAUGGGCAAUGUUUCCUUAAGGAUUCUGUGAAGGAACACAUUCUCUGGAGCCGGAAAUGAUCUUAAAAAUGCCCUGUGGCUGGGUUUGUUCUAAGGAGACGCAAACAGAAUACCCCGUUGCCUUAUUACAGGCCGACACCUCUUUCACAAGUUUAAAAAUGAAAAUUAACAGAGCCCCCUGUUCAGUUUUUAAAGGCUGACAGAGGCGCAGUCUCCAACCCACUGAUUCAUGACUUUUCAUGACGAUUCAGGUUUCCACUUGCCAGGGAGGUUUACUCAAUGAAAACCCACCAAUGAGUGAUCUUUUUUGGUGUCAUAAUGCUUUUUUUAGCCGUGAAACAGCUGUGCACUGUUCCUGGUAAAUCCGGUUACUACAGUUACGCAGUCUGUGCUGUCUAGCUGCUCUGAUUCAUUAGUGGCAAUCCUCAAGGAGACAAGGGGAAGUGCUAACCAAUUUUCCUACAUGUGGGACAAGACAUCCCUUCACCUGAGAUGUGCCCAUUCAUUUGCAGUUUAUUCAAGAUGAACAAUGAUGGAUAGACCAAGGAAAGAACUGCUAAAAGGAUAAGAUAAGACCACUUUAUUGUUCAUAUACAAUUUCUUGCAUUAGGAAUUUGUCUUUUUCGCACACCCCAGCUUGCUCUCCAUGAGACACUCA